rnacentral:rRNA from 1 species
UAGCGAAAGUUACGCUAAUACCGCCUAUUCUGUGCGCAGGAAAGCAGGGGAUCGCAAGACCUUGCGCUGAUUGAGCGGCCGAUAUCAGAUUAGCUAGUUGGUGAGGUAAAAGCUCACCAAGGCGACGAUCUGUAGCGGGUCUGAGAGGAUGAUCCGCCACACUGGAACUGAGACACGGUCCAGACUCCUACGGGAGGCAGCAGUGGGGAAUUUUGGACAAUGGGGGCAACCCUGAUCCAGCCAUGCCGCGUGAGUGAAGAAGGCCUUCGGGUUGUAAAGCUCUUUCAGCCGGGAAGAAAAUGCAUGGGUUAAUACCCUGUGCAGAUGACGGUACCGGAAUAAGAAGCACCGGCUAACUACGUGCCAGCAGCCGCGGUAAUACGUAGGGUGCGAGCGUUAAUCGGAAUUACUGGGCGUAAAGCGUGCGCAGGCGGUUUUGUAAGACAGGCGUGAAAUCCCCGGGCUUAACCUGGGAACUGCGUUUGUGACUGCAAGGCUAGAGUACGGCAGAGGGGGGUGGAAUUCCACAUGUAGCAGUGAAAUGCAUAGAGAUGUGGAGGAACACCAAUGGCGAAGGCAGCCCCCUGGGUCGAUACUGACGCUCAUGCACGAAAGCGUGGGUAGCAAACAGGAUUAGAUACCCUGGUAGUCCACGCCCUAAACGAUGUCAACUAGGUGUUGGGAGGGUAAAACCUUUUAGUACCGUAGCUAACGCGAGAAGUUGACCGCCUGGGGAGUACGGCCGCAAGGUUAAAACUCAAAGGAAUUGACGGGGACCCGCACAAGCGGUGGAUGAUGUGGAUUAAUUCGAUGCAACGCGAAAAACCUUACCUACCCUUGACAUGUCAGGAACUUUCCAGAGAUGGAUUGGUGCCCGAAAGGGAACCUGAACACAGGUGCUGCAUGGCUGUCGUCAGCUCGUGUCGUGAGAUGUUGGGUUAAGUCCCGCAACGAGCGCAACCCUUGUCGUUAAUUGCCAUCAUUUAGUUGGGCACUUUAACGAGACUGCCGGUGACAAACCGGAGGAAGGUGGGGAUGACGUCAAGUCCUCAUGGCCCUUAUGGGUAGGGCUUCACACGUCAUACAAUGGUCGGUACAAAGGGUCGCCAACCCGCGAGGGGGAGCCAAUCCCAUAAAGCCGAUCGUAGUCCGGAUUGUAGGCUGCAACUCGCCUGCAUGAAGUCGGAAUCGCUAGUAAUCGUGGAUCAGCAUGUCACGGUGAAUACGUUCCCGGGUCUUGUACACACCGCCCGUCACACCAUGGGAGCGGGUUCCGCCAGAAGUAGGUAGCCUAACCGCAAGGGGGGCGCUUACCACGGCGGG